rnacentral:tRNA from 1 species
GCGCCUGUGGCUUAAAAGGGUAGAGCGCCGGCCCCAUAUGUCGGAGGUGGCAGGUUCAAACCCAGCCCAGGCCA